GACGAACCGUGCAAACGUUGUUCGGAAUCACUGGGCUUAAAGGGCGCGUAGGCGGGCGGGCAAGUCAGGGGUGAAAUCCCACGGCUCAACCGUGGAAGUGCGCUCGAAACUGCGUAGCUAGAGUCCUGGAGAGGAAGGUGGAAUGCUUGGUGUAGAGGUGAAAUUCGUAGAUAUCAAGCGGAACACCGGUGGCGAAGGCGGCCUUCUGGACAGUGACUGACGCUGAGACGCGAAAGCGUGGGGAGCAAACAGG
rnacentral:rRNA from 1 species